rnacentral:rRNA from 1 species
UACGUAGGUGGCAAGCGUUGUCCGGAUUUACUGGGCGUAAAGAGCGCGCAGGCGGUCGUUUAAGUCGAAUGUGAAAGCCCCCGGCUCAACUGGGGAGGGUCAUUCGAUACUGAUCGACUUGAAGGCAGGAGAGAGAAGUGGAAUUUCCGGUGUAGCGGUGAAAUGCGUAGAUAUCGGAAGGAACAUCAGUGGCGAAAGCGACUUCCUGGACCAAUACUGACGCUCAUGUGCGAAAGCGUGGGGAGCAAACAGG